GACGAACGCUGGCGGCGUGCUUAACACAUGCAAGUCGAACGGAAAGGCGCUGCUUUUGUGGGGUGCUCGAGUGGCGAACGGGUGAGUAACACGUGAGUAACCUGCCCUUGACUUUGGGAUAACUUCAGGAAACUGGGGCUAAUACCGGAUAGGAGCUCCUGCUGCAUGGUGGGGGUUGGAAAGUUUCGGCGGUUGGGGAUGGACUCGCGGCUUAUCAGCUUGUUGGUGGGGUAGUGGCUUACCAAGGCUUUGACGGGUAGCCGGCCUGAGAGGGUGGCCGGCCACAUUGGGACUAAGAUACGGCCCAGACUCCUACGGGAGGCAGCAGUCGGGAAUAUUGCACAAUGGGCGGAAGCCUGAUGCAGCAACCCCGCGUGCGGGAUGACGGCCUUCGGGUUGUAAACCGCUUUCGCCUGUGACGAAGCGUGAGUGACGGUAAUGGGUAAAGAAGCACCGGCUAACUACGUG
rnacentral:rRNA from 1 species